rnacentral:rRNA from 1 species
UACGUAGGCAGCAAGCGUUGUUCGGAAUUACUGGGCGUAAAGAGUGUGUAGGCGGUGCUCUAAGUCUGUUGUGAAAUCUCCCGGCUUAACUGGGGAGGGUGCGGCGGAAACUGGAGUGCUUGAGGGUGGGAGAGGUAAGGCGGAAUUCCUGGUGUAGCGGUGAAAUGCGUAGAUAUCAGGAGGAACACCUGUGGUGUAGACAGCUUACUGGACCACUUCUGACGCUGAGGCACGAAAGCGUGGGUAGCAAACAGG